GCCGAGCUCAGUUGCGAGAGCUUGUAACCUGAGUAGGGGUAUUAAGGUGAUGUGGACGGUGUUGUAACGUUGUGGGCUUGGUCUGGGUGUGCUACUGCUGGCCCGCCCGUUUCAAGUUGCGUAGUGGACCGCUUGGGGCCUAUGCGAAAGCUGGGCCUCACGGUCCAUAAUAUGGUAGGUACAGCGUGAGGCUGGCUUCACAGGACAACUGCCCGCUUCCAACGGUGGAAGGAUAACGGGCCGCUGCACUCCUGGGCCACUUGGGCCUCGCAGCCUACUCCAGCGAACCAUCACUUUU
rnacentral:SRP_RNA from 1 species